rnacentral:lncRNA from 1 species
UGACACUAAGUUCAUGAGAUGAGCAAAAGUGCACUAGGACUACCGCGACACUUCAAACCUCAACAUGAUAUGAUUUAUGACAGCAUCCAAGCAACAAGCUACACAACAAUACAUAAGAGUUCAUUUGAAUAGGACACUAGUAGACGAAACACAACAAAUCACAUCAGAGUUCAUAACUUCAUGUGAAUAGUACACUAGUAGACUAAACACAACAACUUCAUGGCACUAGAUCCGAGGGCCUCAAGUUUGAAUAACGAGGAUGAUCUGAUCAUAUAUAGAUCGAAAUCGAACCCUGCAUAAGCAACAAAGGAUACAUUGACCAGCACAUGAAAGUCUCAUACUAGAAGGAAUGCAGGGAAUGUUGUGAGAAAUUCUGUUGGUUGAUGUGGCUAUCAAAAUGCUUGAAUUCAAACGAACUCUUCGGUUUUAGUCUAACUAGCUAUCAGGGCAUAAUCUGAGAAAUUCUUGUAAUGGGACAAUAAUGGAACAUGAAACUGAGCAGAUGUUUUAACUUAAAUUUGGUAGGAAGCAUUUUGGGUAGCGCUUACAGAAACAACCAUAAAGGAGGGUGUCAAACUGUCCUAGUCCAGUAAAAAAUGCACACUUCAGAUUUGUGCCUUCGGUACUACCUAAAUUAGUCAAAACCACCUUACAUUACCUAAUCAAGCAUUCUGUUGAGGAAAUUAAUAGUUUCUGUUGCUGCGCUAAGCUCCCUACUCUUGUGCGAAGGUGAAGAAACUCGUUCACAAAUCUGCUGGACCCACUAAUGGCGGCAUAGUUGUUGGGGUCAUCGAUGUGCAGGGCGGGCACAUACUUCCAAAGUGUGCUCCAGCGCUUAGCAAGAACACACGUCCGUACAGAGUCACGAGAAGGCAGGAACAACAAAAGAUAGCAAAAGAUCAUUUGGGAGGGCCCUGCCCCCUAGCUAGAGUCGUUUCCAUCGUUUCCUCGCUAUUAAGCCUCUCCGACAUUAUGUCAAAAAGGUUGCCUACGCCGAAGCUGUAGAGUUGUUGGAUGUGGUGAGUCAGUGAGUGAGACCAGCCAAAUGGAGAAGAUACACAAUAAUCAUGAGCUCACCAGAUUAGCUCACCUACAGCCGCCGCUAGUCAUGCUCCUCCACCUCCUCCUCGACGGUGCUCAGUUCUCCAAGCAACGCGAGAGGGGACACUUCUCUCAUGCCUUCUCACCUUAACUUGGUGGGACAGGAAAACAGAGAAUGCCGAAGGAAGGGAUAAAGAGAAAGUGAUGGGUGUUUGAUGGAUGUUGGUUGUUCUUAUAGAAAACAACUUGUAUUUAAUACAGGAAGGGUCUCGAAGGACCCAUAAAAGCCGCUUUAGUAAUAAUGUUGGCACAAUAUGAGAGCAGGCGAACCGAAAGCGGUGACAAAUGGUCCAAAUUAUCUUGUCAUUCACUAUAUCACGGGAUAUGUGUCAUCCUCUCUUCCGGAGAGAGCCAAAUGAGAAAAUACAACACUAAAUACACGUCAUGGUAUAUAACUAACAAGAUGGGUGAGACCAUCGCAUUAUGUCAUAGGCGUGUUAAUGAAUGCUGAGGUGAAGGACAGAGGCUCCAUGGUUGGACGGUACUUAUUAAUUUAACCAUGUGAGCAUAACGACAACACUGCACCAACCUUGUUCUAUCUCAUGUGACCGGGGUGCGUAUCGCCUGAGAUGGAGGAAGGUGGAGCAACUACUCCAUGGAGGGGUUACAUAUUUCCUUAUUCUGGGGUCGGAUGCGAUUGGAUCCACAUUUGUUUGAGGUGUGUGUGUGUGUGUGUGUGCGUGUGCGUGUGAUGGACCGAAGGAGUGCUGACACAUGAUAGGGUAAAUGAUGUGGUUUGUGAGUAAAACUUCCAUACAUGUACACCAUCACAAAAACCAUAGCCUUCAAUGGCGAGCUUGCCCGAGCUGAAAUGUUGUUGUCCAAAUUAGGAAAUAUGAAUAUGUUGGAAAUAUGCCCUAGAGGCAAUAAUAAAAGGAUUAUUAUUAUAUUUCCUUGUUCAUGAUAAUUGUCUUUUAUUCAUGCUAUAAUUGUGUUAUCCGGAAAUCGUAAUACAUGUGUGAAUACUUAGACACCAACAUGUCCCUAGUAAGCCUCUAGUUGACUAGCUCGUUGAUCAACAGAUAGUCAUGAUUUCCUGACUAUGGACAUUGGAUGUCAUUGAUAACGGGAUCACAUCAUUAGGAGAAUGAUGUGAUGGACAAGACCCAAUCCUAAACAUAGCAUAAGAUCGUAUAGUUCGUUUGCUAGAGUUUUUCCAAUGUCAAGUAUCUUUUCCUUAGACCAUGAGAUCGUGUAACUCCCGGACACCGUAGGAGUGCUUUGGGUGUACCAAACGUCACAACGUAACUGGGUGACUAUAAAGGUAUACUACGGGUAUCUCCGAAAGUGUCUGUUGGGUUGACACGGAUCAAGACUGGGAUUUGUCACUCCGUAUGACGGAGAGGUAUCACUGGGCCCACUCGGUAAUGCAUCAUCAUAAUGAGCUCAAAGUGACCAAGUGUCUGGUCACGGGAUCAUGCAUUACGGUACGAGUAAAGUGACUUGCCGGUAACGAGAUUGAACGAGGUAUUGGGAUACCGACGAUCGAAUCUCGGGCAAGUAACAUACCGAUUGACGAAGGGAAUUAUAUACGGGGUUGCGUGAAUCCUCGACAUCGUGGUUCAUCCGAUGAGAUCAUCGAGGAGCAUGUGGGAGCCAACAUGGGUAUCCAGAUCCCGCUGUUGGUUAUUGACCAAAGAGCUAUCUCGGUCAUGUCUACAUGUCUCCCGAACCCGUAGGGUCUACACACUUAAGGUUCGGUAACGCUAGAGUUGUAGGGAUAUGUAUAUGCAGUAACCCGAAUGUUGUUCGGAGUCCCGGAUGAGAUCCGGGACGUCACGAGGAGUUUCGGAAUGGUCCGGAGGUAAAGAAUUAUAUAUAGGAAGUGCUAUUUCGGCCAUCGGGACAAGUUUCGGGGUCACCGGUAUUGUACCGGGACCACCGGAAGGGUCCCGGGGGUCCACCGGGUGGGGCCACCUAUCCCGGAGGGCCCCAUGGGCUGAAGUGGGAAGGGAUCCAGCCCAAAGUGGGCUGGGGCGCCACUUCCCCUAGGGCCCAUGCGCCUAGGGUGGGGGAAACCCUAAAGGGGGGCGCCCCUUGCUUGGGGGGCAAGCCCCCCACCCCUUGGCCGCCGCCCCCCUAGGAGAUUGCAUCUCCUAGGGCCGGCGCCCCCCCUAGGCCCCCCUAUAUAUAGUGGGGGGGAUGGAGGACCUCUAACCCACGCCUUUGGUGCCUCCCUCUCCCUCUCCAACACCUCCUCCUCCUCCAUAGAGCUUGGCGAAGCCCUGCCGGAGUACUGCAGCUCCACCACCACCAUGCCGUCGUGCUGCUGCUGGAGCCAUCUUCCUCAACCUCUCCUUUCCCCUUGCUGGAUCAAGAAGGAGGAGACGUUAUGCUGACUGUACGUGUGUUGAACGCGGAGGUGCCGUCCGUUCGGCGCUAGGAUCUCCGGUGAUUUGGAUCACGUCGAGUACGACUUCCUCAUCCCCGUUCUUUGAACGCUUCCGUGCGUGAUCUACAAAGGUAUGUAGAUGCAAUCCAAUCACUCGUUGCUAGAUGAACUCCUAGAUGGAUCUUGGUGAAACCGUAGGAAAAUUUUUGUUUUCUGCAUCGUUCCCCAACAGUGGCAUCAUGAGCUAGGUCUAUGCGUAGUUCUCUAUGCACGAGUAGAACACAAUUUGUGGUGGGUGUCUGUCUCUCCCACUUUAGUUGGAGUGGAUUCGAUGAAAAGGGUCCUUAUGAAGGGUAAAUAGAAGUUGACAAAUCACGUUGUGGCUUUCAUGUAGGUAAGAAAACGUUCUUGCUAGAACCCUCUUGCAGCCACGUAAAACUUGCAACAACAAUUAGAGGACGUCUAACUUGUUUUUGCAGCAAGUGCUUUGUGAUAUGAUAUGGCCAAAGUUGUGAUGAAUGAUGAAUGAUAUAUAUAUGUGAUGUAUGAGAUGUUCAUGCUAUUGUAAUAGGAAUCACGACUUGCAUGUCGAUGAGUAUGACAACCGGCAGGAGCCAUAGGAGUUGUCUUUAUUUUUUGUAUGACCUGCGUGUUAUUGAGAAACGCCAUGUAAAUUACUUUACUUUAUUGCUAAACGUGUUAGCCAUAGUAGUAGAAGUAAUAGUUGGCGAGCAACUUCAUGGAGACACGAUGAUGGAGAUCAUGGUGUCAAGCCGGUGACAAGAUGAUCAUGGAGCCCCAAGAUGGAGAUCAAAGGAGGUAUGUGAUAUUGGCCAUAUCAUGUCACUAUUAUUAUUUGAUUGCAUGUGAUGUUUAUCAUGUUUUGCAUCUUGUUUACUUAGAACGACGGUAGUAAAUAAGAUGAUCCCUCAUAAUAAUUUCAAGAAAGUGUUCCCCCUAACUGUGCACCGUUGCGACAGUUCGUUGUUUCGAAGCACCACGUGAUGAUCGGGUGUGAUAGAUUCUAACGUUCACAUACAACGGGUGUAAGACAGAUUUAUACAUGCAAACACUUAGGUUGACUUGACGAGGCUAGCAUGUACAGACAUGGCCUCGGAACACAGAAGACCGAAAGGUCGAGCAUGAGUCGUAUAGUAGAUACGAUCAACAUGAAGAUGUUCACCGAUGUUGGCUAGUCCGUCUCACGUGAUGAUCGGACACGGCCUAGUUAAGUCGGAUCAUGUUAUACUUAGAUGACCGAAGGGAUGUCUAUCUAAGUGGGAGUUCAUUGAAUAAUUUGAUUAGAUGAACUUAACUAUCAUGAACUUAGUCUAAAAUCUUUACAAUAUGUCUUGUAGAUCAAAUGGCCUACGUUGUCCUCAACUUCAAUGCAUUCCUAGAGAAAACCAAGCUGAAAGACGAUGGCAGCAACUAUACGGACUGGGUCCGAAACCUGAGGAUCAUCCUCAUAGCUGCCAAGAAAGAUUAUGUCCUAGAAGCACCGCUAGGUGACGCACCCGUUCCAGAGAACCAAGACGUUAUGAAUGCUUGGCAGUCACGUGCUGAUGAUUACUCCCUCGUUCAGUGCGGCAUGCUUUACAGCUUAGAACCGGGGCUCCAAAAGCGUUUUGAGAAACACGGAGCAUAUGAGAUGUUUGAAGAGCUAAAAAUGGUUUUCCAAGCUCAUGCCCGGGUCGAGAGAUAUGAAGUCUCCGACAAGUUCUUCGGCUGUAAGAUGGAGGAAAAUAGUUCUGUCAGUGAGCACAUACUCACUAUGUCUGGGUUACAUAACUGCUUGACUCAGCUGGGAGUUAAUCACCCGGAUGAUGCGGUCAUUGAUAGAAUCCUCAAGUCGCUUCCACCAAGCUACAAGAGCUUUGUGAUGAACUUCAAUAUGCAGGGGAUGGAAAAGACCAUUCCUGAAGUAUUUGCAAUGCUGAAAUCAGCAGAGGUAGAAGUCAAAAAGGAACAUCAAGUGUUGAUGGUGAAUAAAACCACUAAGUUCAAGAAAGGAAAGGGUAAAAAGAACUUCAAGAAGGACGGCAAGGGAGUUGCCGCGCCCGGUAAGCUAGCUGCCGGGAAGAAGCCAAAGAAUGGACCCAAGCCCGAGACUGAGUACUUUUAUUGCAAGGGAAGUGGUCACUGGAAGCGGAACUGCCCCAAAUACUUAGCAGACAAGAAGGCCGGCAAAACGAAAGGUAUAUGUGAUAUACAUGUAAUUGAUGUGUACCUUACCAGUACUCGUAGUAGCUCCUGGGUAUUUGAUACCGGUGCAGUUGCUCACAUUUGUAACUCAAAGCAGGAGCUACGGAAUAAGCGGAGACUGGCGAAGGACGAGGUGAUGAUGCGCGUCGGGAAUGGUUCCAAGGUCGAUGUGAUCGCGGUCAGCACGCUACCUCUACAUUUACCUACGGGAUUAGUUUUGAACCUCAAUAACUGUUAUUUAGUACCAGCUUUGAGCAUGAACAUUGUAUCAGGAUCUCGUUUAAUUCGAGAUGGCUACUCAUUUAAAUCCGAGAAUAAUGGUUGUUCUAUUUAUAUGAGAGAUAUGUUUUAUGGUCAUGCUCCGAUGGUGAAUGGUUUAUUCUUAAUGAAUCUCGAGCGUAAUGCUGCACAUAUUCAUAGUGUGAGCACCAAAAGAUGUAAGGUUGAUAAUGAUAGUCCCACAUACUUGUGGCACUGUCGCCUUGGUCACAUAGGUGUCAAACGCAUGAAGAAGCUCCAUGCAGAUGGACUUUUAGAGUCUCUUGAUUACGAAUCAUUUGACACAUGCGAACCAUGCCUCAUGGGUAAAAUGACCAAGACUCCGUUCUCAGGAACAAUGGAGCGAGCGACCAACUUAUUGGAAAUCAUACAUACUGAUGUGUGCGGUCCAAUGAGUGUUGAGGCUCGCGGUGGCUAUCGUUAUGUUCUCACCCUCACUGAUGACUUGAGUAGAUAUGGGUAUAUCUAUUUAAUGAAACACAAGUUUGAGACCUUUGAAAAGUUCAAGGAAUUUCAGAGUGAGGUUGAGAAUCAACGUGACAGGAAAAUCAAGUUCAUACGAUCAGAUCGUGGAGGAGAAUACUUGAGUCACGAAUUUGGCACACACUUAAGAAAAUGUGGAAUAGUUUCACAACUCACGCCGCCUGGAACACCUCAGCGUAAUGGUGUCUCUAAACGUCGUAAUCGCACUCUAUUAGAUAUGGUGCGAUCUAUGAUGUCUCUUACCGAUUUACCGCUAUCUUUUUGGGGCUAUGCUUUAGAGACUGCCGCAUUCACUUUAAAUAGGGCUCCGUCGAAAUCCGUUGAGACGACACCGUAUGAAUUAUGGUUUGGGAAGAAACCUAAGUUGUCGUUUCUAAAAGUUUGGGGAUGCGAUGCUUAUGUCAAGAAACUUCAACCUGAAAAGCUCGAACCCAAGUCGGAAAAAUGCGUUUCAUAGGAUACCCUAAAGAAACUAUUGGGUAUACCUUCUACCUUAGAUCCGAAGGCAAGAUCUUUGUUGCCAAGAAUGGAUCCUUUCUAGAGAAGGAGUUUCUCUCGAAAGAAGUAAGUGGGAGGAAAGUAGAACUUGAUGAAGUAUUACCUCUUGAACCGGAAAGUGGUGCAACUCAAGAAAAUGUUCCUGAGGUGCCUGCACCGACUAGAGAGGAAGUUAAUGAUGAUGAUCAUGAAACUUCAGAUCAAGUUGCUACUGAACUUCGUAGGUCCACAAGGACACGUUCCGCACCAGAGUGGUACAGCAACCCUGUCUUGGAAAUCAUGUUGUUAGACAACGGUGAACCUUCUAACUAUAAAGAAGCGAUGGCGGGCCCAGAUUCCAACAAAUGGCUUGAAGCCAUGCAAUCCGAGAUAGGAUCCAUGUAUGAAAACAAAGUAUGGACUUUGACAGACUUGCCCGAUGAUCGGCGAGCGAUAGAAAACAAAUGGAUCUUUAAGAAGAAGACGGAUGCGGAUGGUAAUGUUACCAUCUAUAAAGCUCGACUUGUCGCUAAGGGUUAUUGGCAAGUUCAAGGGGUUGACUACGAUGAGACUUUCUCACCGGUAGCGAAGCUGAAGUCCGUCCGAAUUAUGUUAGCAAUUGCCGCAUACUAUGAUUAUGAGAUAUGGCAAAUGGAAGUCAAAACGGCAUUCCUUAAUGGUUUCCUUAAGGAAGAAUUGUAUAUGCUGCAGCCGGAAGGUUUUGUCGACCCUAAGAAUGCUAACAAGGUAUGCAAGCUCCAGCGAUCCAUUUAUGGGCUGGUGCAAGCAUCUCAGAGUUGGAAUAUUCGCUUUGAUGAGAUGAUCAAAGCGUUUAGUUUAUGCAGACUUAUGGAGAAGUCUGCGUUUACAAGAAAGUGAGUGGGAGCUCUGUAGCAUUUCUCGUAUUAUAUGUAGAUGACAUACUUUUGAUGGGAAAUGAUAUAGAGCUUUUGGACAGCAUUAAGGCCUACUUGAAUAAGAGUUUUUCAAUGAAGGACCUUGGAGAAGCUGCUUAUAUAUGAGGCAUCAAGAUCUAUAGAGAUAGAUCAAGACGCCUGAUAGGUCUUUCACAAAGCACAUACCUUGAUAAGAUAUUGAAGAAGUUCAAUAUGGAUCAGUCUAAGAAGGGGUUCUUGCCUCUGUUGCAAGGUAUGAAAUUGAGCUCAGCUCAAUGUCCGACCACGGCAGAAGAUAUAGAAGAGAUGAGUGUCAUCCCCUAUGCCUCAGCCAUAGGUUCUAUUAUGUAUGCCAUGCUGUGUACCAGACCCGAUGUAAACCUUGCCGUAAGUUUGGUAGGAAGGUACCAAAGUAAUCCCGGCAAGGAACACUGGACAUCGGUCAAGAAUAUCCUGAAGUACCUGAAAAGGACUAAGGAAAUGUUUCUCGUUUAUGGAGGUGACGAAGAGCUCGUCGUAAAGGGUUACGUCGAUGCUAGCUUCGACACAUAUCUGGAUGACUCUAAGUCACAAACCGGAUACGUGUAUAUUUUGAAUGGUGGGGCAGUUAGCUAGUGCAGUUGCAAGCAGAGCGUCGUGGCGGGAUCUACAUGUGAAGCGGAGUACAUGGCAGCCUCGGAGGCAACACAUGAAGCAAUUUGGGUGAAGGAGUUCAUCACCAACCUAGGAGUCAUACCCAAUGCGUCGGGGCCGAUCAAACUCUUCUGUGACAACACUGGAGCUAUUGCACUUGCCAAGGAGCCCAAGUUUCACAAGAAGACAAGGCACAUCAAGCGUCGCUUCAACUCCAUCCGUGAAAAUGUUCAAGAUGGAGACAUAGAAAUUUGUAAAGUACAUACAGAUCUGAAUGUAGCAGAUCCGUUGACUAAACCUCUCCCUAGAGCAAAACAUGAUCAACACCAGAAUUCCAUGGGUGUUCGAUUCAUCACAAUGUAACUAGAUUAUUGACUCUAGUGUAAGUGGGAGACUGUUGGAAAUAUGCCCUAGAGGCAAUAAUAAAAGGAUUAUUAUUAUAUUUCCUUGUUCAUGAUAAUUGUCUUUUAUUCAUGCUAUAAUUGUGUUAUCCGGAAAUCGUAAUACAUAUGUGAAUACUUAGACACCAACAUGUCCCUAGUAAGCCUCUAGUUGACUAGCUCGUUGAUCAACAGAUAGUCAUGAUUUUCUGACUAUGGACAUUGGAUGUCAUUGAUAACGGGAUCACAUCAUUAGGAGAAUGAUGUGAUGGACAAGACCCAAUCCUAAACAUAGCAUAAGAUCGUAUAGUUCGUUUGCUAGAGUUUUUCCAAUGUCAAGUAUCUUUUCCUUAGACCAUGAGAUCGUGUAACUCCCGGACACCGUAGGAGUGCUUUGGGUGUACCAAACGUCACAACGUAACUGGGUGACUAUAAAGGUAUACUACGGGUAUCUCCGAAAGUGUCUGUUGGGUUGACACGGAUCAAGACUGGGAUUUGUCACUCCGUAUGACGGAGAGGUAUCACUGGGCCCACUCGGUAAUGCAUCAUCAUAAUGAGCUCAAAGUGACCAAGUGUCUGGUCACGGGAUCAUGCAUUAUGGUACGAGUAAAGUGACUUGCCGGUAACGAGAUUGAACGAGGUAUUGGGAUACCGACGAUCGAAUCUCGGGCAAGUAACAUACCGAUUGACGAAGGGAAUUGUAUACGGGGUUGCGUGAAUCCUCGACAUCGUGGUUCAUCCGAUGAGAUCAUCGAGGAGCAUGUGGGAGCCAACAUGGGUAUCCAGAUCCCGCUGUUGGUUAUUGACCAGAGAGCUGUCUCGGUCAUGUCUACAUGUCUCCCGAACCCGUAGGGUCUACACACUUAAGGUUCGGUAACGCUAGAGUUGUAUGGAUAUGUAUAUGCAGUAACCAGAAUGUUUUUCGGAGUCCCGGAUGAGAUCCCGGACAUCACGAGGAGUUCCGGAAUGGUCCGGAGGUAAAGAAUUAUAUAUAGGAAGUGCUAUUCGGCCAUCGGGACAAGUUUCGGGGUCACCGGUAUUGUACCGGGACCACCGGAAGGGUCCCGGGGGUCCACCGGGUGGGGCCACCUAUCCCGGAGGGCCCCAUGGGCUGAAGUGGGAAGGGAUCCAGCCCAAAGUGGGCUGGGGCGCCACUUCCCCUAGGGCCCAUGCGCCUAGGGUGGGGGAAACCCUAAAGGGGGGCGCCCCCUUGCUUGGGGGGCAAGCCCCCCACUCCUUGGCCGCCGCCCCCCUAGGAGAUUGCAUCUCCUAGGGCCGGCGCCCCCCCCUAGGCCCCCCUAUAUAUAGUGGGGGGGGGAUGGAGGACCUCUAACCCAUGCCUUUGGUGCCUCCCUCUCCCUCUCCAACACCUCCUCCUCCUCCAUAGAGCUUGGCGAAGCCCUGCCGGAGUACUGCAGCUCCACCACCACCACGCCGUCGUGCUGCUGCUGGAGCCAUCUUCCUCAACCUCUCCUUUCCCCUUGCUGGAUCAAGAAGGAGGAGACGUUACGCUGACCGUACGUGUGUUGAACGCGGAGGUGCCGUCCGUUCGGCGCUAGGAUCUCCGGUGAUUUGGAUCACGUCGAGUACGACUUUCUCAUCCUCGUUCAUUGAACGCUUCCGCGCGUGAUCUACAAAGGUAUGUAGAUGCAAUCCAAUCACUCGUUGCUAGAUGAACUCCUAGAUGGAUCUUGGUGAAACCAUAGGAAAAUUUUUGUUUUCUGCAUCGUUCCCCAACAGAAUAUAGAGUAACACAUCGUGGAAGAUGAAGUUUAGACCUACAUUGAUUAGGUUGAGGGUGGUUAGGAGUUCAGGUUGUGUUGGUG